AAGAGGCGUAUGAACAAUCUAGAACUGCUACCUCAAGAACCCAAGGCUAAAAUCCUCGGGCCUCUU
rnacentral:tRNA from 1 species